GACGAACGCUGGCGGCGUGCCUAAUACAUGCAAGUCGAGCGGAUCUGAUGAAGUGCUUGCACUUCUGAUGGUUAGCGGCGGACGGGUGAGUAACACGUAGGCAACCUGCCUGCAAGCCCGGGAUAACAUUCGGAAACGAAUGCUAAGACCGGAUACGCAGCUUGGUCGCAUGACUGAGCUGGGAAAGACGGAGCAAUCUGUCGCUUGUAGAUGGGCCUGCGGCGCAUUAGCUAGUUGGUGAGGUAACGGCCCACCAAGGCGACGAUGCGUAGCCGACCUGAGAGGGUGAACGGCCACACUGGGACUGAGACACGGCCCAGACUCCUGCGGGAGGCAGCAGUAGGGAAUCUUCCACAAUGGACGCAAGUCUGAUGGAGCAACGCCGCGUGAGUGAGGAAGGCCUUCGGGUCGUAAAGCUCUGUUGCCAGGGAAGAACGCCUAGGAGAGUAACUGCUCGUACCUUGACGGUACCUUACGAGAAAGCCACGGCUAACUACGUGCCAGCCGCCGCCGUAACAC
rnacentral:rRNA from 1 species